CUACCUUGUUACGACUUCACCCCAGUCAUGAAUCCUACCGCGCCGGUCGCUAUAUACGGUUGAGCUACUUCCUUCUGGUAAAACCACUCCCAUGGGUGUGACGGGCGGUGUCCCAGACCGGGUGUCUUCACCUGACAUGCUGAUCCGCGUUCACCUAGCGAUUCCGACUACGCAGUCAGGUUGCAGACUGCACGAUCCGGACGCUGAUCGGGUUUCUGGGAUUGGCUCCCCCUCGCGGGUUGGCGACCCUCUGUUACGACCAUUGCGCUGAUGUGGCCCUGCCUGGUGUGAGACUGACGUGUCACGCGCCGGUUUGUCACCGGCAGUCUCAUUAAAGUGCCCUUUGUGGCAACUAAUGACGGGGUUGCCGCUCGUUGCGGGACUCUUAACAUCUCACGGCCCGGCUGACGACGUGUGCGCUCAUGUUCAGUUCUUUGAGCACUCCCAAAUCUAUUUAAGGAUUUAGACAUGUCAAGGUAGAGUAAGGUUUUCGCGUUGCAUCGAAUUAAUCAUCAUCCUGCUUGUGCGGGUCCCCGUCGUGCUGGUUUUAAAUAAACCGUACUCCCCAGGCGGACUUCACGCGUUAGCUGCGCUACCGGAAGCCCAACAGCUAUUGACAUCGUUUGGGCGUGAUUCUGGGGUAUCGUCUCUUUUUGCUCCCACGCUUUCGUGCAUGAGCGUCAGUGUUAUCCCGACUGCGCCGCCAUCGGUGUUCCUCCGCAUAUCCGCAUUCACUGCUACACGCAGGUCCCUCCCUCAACACUCCCGUCAGUGUUCGCAUCCAGUUCCAAAAUUAGCUCAGGGUUCAUCUUUCUUUCCAGACCGCCUGCGCUUUUACGCCAGUAAUUCCGAUUAACGCUUGCCUACGUAUUACCGCGGCUGCUGGCACGUAGUUAGCCGGUCUUAUUCUGGGUACCGUUAGUUGCACGGGGUAUUAUCCCGUGCCGUUUCUUUUCACUGCAAAGUGCUUACAACCGAAGGCCUUCAUCCCUUUUGCGGAUGGCUGGAUCGAGGUUCCCCAUUGUCAAAAUUCCCCCACUGCCUCCGUAGGAGUGUCUGGGCGUCGUCUUGAUUGAUGUGGUGUCUCUCAAACCAGCUGGGAUCGUCACUCGGUGACCGUUACCCCACCAAUAGCUAAUCCGAUAUCGGCCGCUCUAUUAGUGCGAGGCGAAAGGUCCCCGCUUUCCCCCGAAGAAUGUUAUGCGAUAUCCAGCUCACUUUAGCGUGAUUAUCCCCACUACUAGGCACGUUCCGACUACAUUACUCACUGCCGUUCGCCACUCACCACCAGACCAGUCCAUGCUGCCGUUCGACUUGCAUGUGUAAAGCAUCCACGCCAGCGUUCAAUCUGAGCCAUGAUCAAACC
rnacentral:rRNA from 1 species